rnacentral:rRNA from 1 species
ACGCGAGGAACCUUACCCGGGCUUGAAAGGCAUUCGACAGGACACAGAGACGUGUCCCUUCUUCGGACGGAUGUCUAGGUGCUGCAUGGUUGUCGUCAGCUCGUGCCGUGAGGUGUCGGCUCAAGUGUCAUAACGAGCGCAACCCCUACCGCCGGUUACCAUCGGGUUACGCCGGGGACUCCGGCGGCACUGCCGCCGCAAGGCGCGAGGAAGGUGGGGAUGACGUCUAAUCAGCACGGCCCUUACGUCCGGGGCCACACACGUGUUACAAUGGGGGGCACAGAAAGCUGGAUGCCGGCGACGGUGUCCGAAUCCUCAAAUCCCCUCCCAGUUCGGACUGGAGUCUGCAACCCGACUCCACGAAGCUGGAUUCGCUAGUAAUCGCGCAUCAGCCAUGGCGCGGUGAAUACGUUCCCGGGUCUUGUACACACCG